UUUGGAGAAACAGGGAGGAAAAGAAAAGCAGGCAUAAUUUAAGGUACUCAACCUUUUUUCCUGACCUAAGAACUCAUUCUGUGCAGUUAAUUCCUGCAGAAGCUGCAUCCAAAGUAAGAUGGAGUGAAUAUGACAUCAAAAGCAGGCUAAAGUUGGAAACAGUUUACCUUUUUACUUUCUUCUUCUUAAGCAGACAUGCUCUACUGUCAUUUGGGGAUUUAAGUUACUGGUAUCAAGAUGCUUUAUAACGUCUUAUAUUCUUUCCAGCUUCUCAUUUGAGAAGACAGAUAUUUUCUUUACUGUGCAUUAAAGGCUAUAUUGCAUUUACCUAGCUUUGGAAAAUGCAUAUGUAAAAGGACAUGUUUUUAUGAAAGAGUACAGAUCUGAAAUUUUGAAGUGAAUACAUUUGAAGUGAAUGAAUAAAGCAUUUUUUUGCAACUGUUCCUUACCAACCUUAAACUCAUAAUUUCUUUAGUGUGUUUCAUUGCCUAUACCUUCUAAAUAAAUUAGGUACACAUCACUCAUUUAUUAAUAAUUUACAUUAAUAAUUUAAUAAUCCUCUUCUGGUCAACUCCUGUAAUCUCUCUAAAUAGCUGUUUAUAAUAAUUUGCAAGGAGAAUCACUAGAUUAUUUGAAUAUUUCCUGUUUAGGAAGCCCCUAGCUGUUACCCAUCUUUAUGUACUCUUAUGUGAAUUUUUAGCUCUGUAGAAAGAGAUGUCCAGCUCUUCCUGUAAUUUUAGUAUUUUAGUCACCAUUUACAGGUAGGCAAAACCAGAUCUUUUCCACAUCCCAGUUUUAUUUUGUCAUCUGAAUUUCUUUUCUUUCCUUGGUUCUGAUACUUUUCUUGAAAACCAUCUAUAUGUAAGAGGUUAAAUGGGUAUCAGUAACCCAGCUGACACUACCAGCUCACAUUCCCAUUUUGACUUCAAGAUGUAACUGUGAGUAACUGCUAUAACUUUUCAUUUCCUGCUUAUUGUAGUGUUAGUAUUGAUUUAGUUAGAGCAGUAUCAAACUUUUAUUUGUUUCAUAUGUGAGUGAAAUUUUUCUUUUUCUCUUAGCUAUCAAAUACAGGAUUUCAGUUCUUGUGGCUGAAUUUGGUCAAGAUUUAAACUUUGACAUGCAUCUAAGGCUGCUGGGUUUGUCAGUCAUUAUCAUUCAUCAUUAUCAUGUCAUAUCAUAUCAUGAUUUAUUUUCACUUGGAGAAGAGCAAAUACUGCAUAAAGGUUGAAGUUAUAAUAAUUUUUAUAAGAUUAAAAAGGAGGCAAGGAUGUCUUCAAACAUUUUCAUCAGGAAAAAUUAAGUAAAAAAAUUAAUGUGAAUUAGAGAAUGGUUUCAGUGAAAAUUCUUUGGUGUUCACUAGAAAAUAUGAGAACAGUUGAGGAAAAUCAGUUAUGUGUUUGUAUCCUUUGGGAUUCCUUUUGGAAUUUAGAAGCAGCAAAAGUCUGGAUUUUAAGUUUUUUUUUGUUUAAUCUGGUGGCUAGACAAGCUCCUUAAAGCUAUAUUUGUGUGCAUAUGUAUAUUUUACAUGUAAACAUGUCCAUAAAUCUGUGUCUAUCUGCCAAGAAAACAUGAGAGGCUGAGGUGACUGCAUUUGGAUAAUAUCUUUUUAGUAACAGCUUUACUACAGGGUAAGCAGAUUAUUUCUUUGAGUAGCAAAUGCCCUUCAACUUGAAAAAAAAGGGAAAAAAAAGAUGGAGGCAGAAUCAUAAUGCAAAUUUGUAAGACUUUGUGGUGCGUUAGAACCUGGUAAUAUGAGUCUGUUACUUUUUGUUAGGAGAGGGCUUGAAUUAUCUGAAAUUUGUAUUAAAAAUUUAAAUGGAUUAUUUAAAAGGAACCUUUGUAUUUUUAAAAGUACUGUUACUGAUCCCUGUGUUGGAAAAUGGUACAAUUUUAUCAUAAGUCAAAAGUGCAUGGGGUUAGAUGAUACCUAUAGCAGCUGAGGUAAUAAUUUACUUACUGAGGAAGCCAUAUGAAAUGAUAGUUAAAUAAGAAACAAAGUGAUGACAUUUAAAAUAGAUUGCAUGUGUGUCUCAACAUUUAAAAAAAGAAAAAUCUAUUGAACAUACUGCAGUUUUGAAGAAAAAUAAUGUUACCAUUUUGGAAACUUGUGCCUAUAUUGGUCAUGUAUAAAAUUAUAUUUAUAAAUGAUGAUUCUUCCAAGUUGGAAUCCUUUCAAGUACGUAUAAUUUUAUUUUGGAUCAAUAAUUCAGUUGUGCUUGGACUAGAUUGAGGGUGCAUGUGAAACUUUGGUAAGUGCAAUAUAGUGUGCAUGUCCAUGAAAUUAUACAAAGCUGUCAUGACAGGUAUCAUCCUUUAAAAGUAAUGAAUGCAGGUAGGUUGGUAAGCAGGGGAAAUAAUCAGCAUUACCAGAACAACAUCUGUCCUGGUGAAAUAUUCACUCUUGGCAAGGCAGUGUUAAAUUCAUAAACUUUUUCUGUUCCAAGUUUCUGUAAGAACAUUUCAGAUUCCAGUGUUCAGUAAUUAUUGCACAGGUGUGGGAUAACUGUGCAGCUCAUCCUACUGGAAAGCUUUGGAUUUCUGUGCAUUGUGGAAGAAUGUACCUUUCCCCAGUUUCAGAAAUGUUUAUGAAGCUUUAGAAAGUGCAGUGUCUUCUAUCUGGUAGUUAGAUUUCUAUCACUUCUUGUUAUUGUUAGGGUUUCUUUUUAUUACUUACUUUAUUAUGUGUUGUACAGGGGGACCUGCUUCGCCAUUUUACAUUUUUUUACUGUUGUUUUGUUAGGCGUAAAUUUGAUGCUGCAGGAGGAAUGAAGAUGUGCAAACCCAGUUAUUAAUCAUGCUCAAAUCUUUUCCAUAUGUGUGUCUUGAAACAUUUAUUUUUCCUCUAUUACCUUUAUAUGAAAUAAAAUUGUGUUUUUCUUUUUUAUGCUUGAGAGUAUUGACUUGAUAAAAAUGAAGGCUGUUGCUUGCUCCCCUUUGCAGAAGUGAUGUCAUAAAAAGGAGCAAGACAUUCCUAACAUUCCUAACUUUUUCUCUUAGCCCAAAUUAAGCUCAUCCCUGCUGAGGAGUUUAGGUGGAGGACUACUCCAAGAUGUGUUACCUGCUUUUUCUUCUAGCAAGAGUGACUCAGAAUUCUCUUGAGGGUAGCUAUUGCAACAACAGUGGAGCACAAAGACAGAGAAAUUAAUAAAGUAAAUAGGAAAGACAGUAAAUAUAGACCAGACCAUCCUCAUUUACUGUUAGAAAUAAGAAAGGAACAGUAUUAAGGCACAUAGAUGAGACAAACCAGCACUUAUCCAUGGUGAAAUCUAUAAAAUGUCUUCGAUUGCUCAAGGGAUCUUUAGAUAUAGCAUUAUUUUCUCUAUCUUAUGGAUGACUUGACCACCUUCACUAUGAAUUUUUCAUGAUUUCCUGACCCAGCAGCUCUUGCCUGUGGAGAGAGUAAUACAGUAUUGAUUUAGGUGUUAGGUUUCUGCCUUUUUUGCCAUAACAGGAUUUUUGUAGCCUAGAAACCUCAAUCCCUGAUUACUCAUUAGAGACUUGAACAACUUUUCUUAGAUCUGGAAUGUAAAAGAAUAAUCACUUAGUUACUUUUGUCAUAGGUAGCCUUUGUAGUGGAAUUUCAGCUCAUCUUGGUAAUGAGUGCUGUUAUUAAGCUUAUCCUGAUUGAAUGGGCUCUACUAGGCCUUCAGAUUGCAAAAAUACUGUUGCCUGAUAACAAUUAGUGUGUUUGCAGCAGAAUUAUACUGGUGAAUGUGUUUAUUUAGCAGCAUACUGCAAACCAGUGGAAUAAGUAGGGGUCUGUCUUCCUGCAUUCAUCCUGGCAUUGAUGUCUUGGUGACUUAUUUUCUGUGCCUCUUGGGCAUAUUAGAAAAUUGAAAAGAGGCCAUGAUGUUUCUAUUUCUCAUUUAAACUGUUGUGUUUUUUUUUUAAAUAAAAAAUCCAUAUCUUACAUCCUCAGCAUUGCCAUGGAAACAAGAUUUUUAAAAGGGACUUAACUGAAAUUUAGCAGCAGUUUUUAUUUCUUUGUGAUUCAUACUUCAUAAAAAUGCAAAUGUCACACUAAUACAUGUUUUACCUUAAUAUUUUAUACUACCAUUUUGUCUUAAUUGGUCUAAUGUUUUCCCUAAUUAAAUUUUGAGCUUCUUUGAAUGAUUUUAAAACUGUACUGUGGACCUAUCAAGCUUUAAAUUUUGACUGUGACAUACAAUUUAAGACACUGUCAUAGAGGAAAAUCAAUCAUUUCAACCUGUAGUCACAGGCACAACAAAAGAUUUAAAAGAUUUAAAAAGCCUUUUGUCCUGACUGGAAAUUUCUUGGCCUCUAUAAUCUUCAUUUCUAGUGAAGUAUCACAGCAAAUAGCUAUUAAUCAUUUAUAUUCCUUUGUUUUUAACUUUAUUCCCUCUAACUGUGUGAAGUUGUUUAGAGGAUAAAUUACUGCUGUGCUAAAUAAAGCUUUUAUUCAUAGUUCCCUUAA